rnacentral:rRNA from 1 species
AACGAACGCUGGCGGCAGGCCUAACACAUGCAAGUCGAACGCCCCGCAAGGGGAGUGGCAGACGGGUGAGUAACACGUGGGAACCUUUCCAGUGGUACGGAAUAGCCCAGGGAAACUUGGAGUAAUACCGUAUACGCCCCUAGGGGGAAAGAUUUAUCGCCAUUGGGUGGGCCCGCGUCGGAUUAGCUAGUUGGUGAGGUAACGGCUCACCAAGGCGACGAUCCGUAGCUGGUCUGAGAGGAUGAUCGGCCACACUGGGACUGAGACACGGCCCAGACUCCUACGGGAGGCAGCAGUGGGGAAUAUUGGACAAUGGGCGCAAGCCUGAUCCAGCCAUGCCGCGUGAGUGACGAAGGCCUUAGGGUUGUAAAGCUCUUUUGGCGGGGACGAUAAUGACGGUACCGCAGAAUAAGCUCCGGCUAACUUCGUGCCAGCAGCCGC